AUUGAACGCUGGCGGCAGGCCUAACACAUGCAAGUCGAGCGGAUGAAGGGAGCUUGCUCCUGGAUUCAGCGGCGGACGGGUGAGUAAUGCCUAGGAAUCUGCCUGGUAGUGGGGGAUAACGUCCGGAAACGGGCGCUAAUACCGCAUACGUCCUGAGGGAGAAAGUGGGGGAUCUUCGGACCUCACGCUAUCAGAUGAGCCUAGGUCGGAUUAGCUAGUUGGUGGGGUAAAGGCCUACCAAGGCGACGAUCCGUAACUGGUCUGAGAGGAUGAUCAGUCACACUGGAACUGAGACACGGUCCAGACUCCUAAGGGAGGCAGCAGUGGGGAAUAUUGGACAAUGGGCGAAAGCCUGAUCCAGCCAUGCCGCGUGUGUGAAGAAGGUCUUCGGAUUGUAAAGCACUUUAAGUUGGGAGGAAGGGCAGUAAGUUAAUACCUUGCUGCUUUGACGUUACCAACAGAAUAAGCACCGGCUAACUUCGUG
rnacentral:rRNA from 1 species